CAGCCUCGCUGCCGCCUUGCAGUUUGAUCUCAGACUGCUGUGCUAGCAGUCAGCGAGACUCCCUGGGCGUAGGAACCUCUGAACCAGAUGCAGCCUGAUAACACCUUCCCUCAGGCCUGCAGGGUUGUACCACUUGCUUCUUGACCUGGGUCUUCUCUGAUGUGGGAUGUUUCCAUAACUACAAAGUGAAAGUAGAGAAGGGGUUUCACCGUGGUCUCAAUCUCCUGACCUCGUGAUCUGCCCGCCUCGGCCUCCCAAAGUGCUGGGAUUACAAGCGUGACCCACCGCGCCCCGCCUGGAAAACUUUCAGUGAUCACCCAAGAUGGCGUCUGCCUUUGUUGCCCAGGCUGGAGUGCAGUGGUGCCAUUUCGGCUCACUGCAACCUCUGCCUCCAGGGUUCAAGGGAUUCUUCUGCCUUAGCCUCCUGAUUAUGACUUUUUUAAAGUUAUAGAAUACACUUAAGAACAACUGGAAGAAAUUUGAAUAUGUACCUCUAUUUGAUGUUACUAAGGAAUUGUUGUUAACUCCUUACAUAUGAUAAUGGAAUAGUAUGGCUGUAAAUGAACAUGUCCUCAUUCUUUAGGAGAUACAUCCUGAAGCAUCUUGAUGUCUUUCAUUGAUUUUCACAUAGUUUAUUUGAAAAAUACAAACACAUUUAUAGCUACAUUAAGCAAAUGUGGCAAAAGUUAACAGUUAUUGAAUUUAGAUGUUGGGCAUAUGGAUGUUCAUUGUUCAUUUAAACAUUUCAGUAUUUACAAAUGUAUAAUAUAAAUUUGGAAACAAAAGAAAAAUGACAUAUGUGUUUUGUGUGUGUGAUUCUAUUUGUGUAUAUGUAUGUGAGUUAAUCUCCAGAAAUUCAAUAAAAAUCUUUGUCUCAGAAU
rnacentral:lncRNA from 10 species